ACAAAAAAAGGCUUCUCUCUGAUAAAUAAAUAAUGUUGCACUGGAAUAGUUUAGCAGAGUUUUAUUGUACAUAAACCUUUUUCAGCAUCUUCAUAUGUAACAGAGCGUCAUGCCACUGGCAUCUUAAAAGGAUUUCUGGUAAUGGAGUGUUAAACGGCCCCAGCAAGAGUGGCUCCCCCCACAUGCUCUCGCUGCCUGCCGAACCAAAUUGUACUUUUAACUCCAGGAAAGAUGAAAUGCUGCCUCCCAUGAGUGUUGCUGUCUAUCCUGCAUCUUGCCGACAUUUAUGGAAGAAGAACUCGCCGUUGCACGGCUUCCGCACGACUGACAAGCUCUGAAAAACGCAACGAGAUAUGAUGGCUGUCUCCCUCCCUCCAGACCAACAUUAAAGUGAAGGUGGCCUGGGGAUCUCUCUCCCUCUCUCUCUCUCUAUCUCUUUAUCUGUCUAUCAGCCUGUAAGCCAGCUAUGGAGAUGAAACGCAGACCACACUCGUCUUUAUGGGCCCCUAUGAGCAGCCAAUAAGAUCUGCAGAAAAAAACAGCCACCGCUGCCACCACCACAACAGCAUCAACAGUUGUGACAGUUCAGCCUUAGGAUAACAAGACUUUAUAACCUCAUUAACAGACUGUCUGAUCGUCCGGCCAGAUCUUUAUGAUUCAGACAGAAGGAAAGAGAAACCUGAGAAGAGAGGAAGGGUUCCUCGGAGAGAUGCUCAGGUUAUAAAUGUUUUUCUAGUCCCACCUACACACCUGCUGCUCAUGUCCCUCUUCACUCCAUGAACACAAAAGGAAGGAGAAUCCAGAAACGUCCUGCAAAGAACAAAAAAUAUGAACAAUCCGGGAUAGAAAUCUUUGGAGACGAUGGCUCAGUUAGCGCAUUGAUGCAUGGAGUAUUUCUCCUCAAAGAAUAAGUGAACAGACUGAAUUAAAAAAAAAAAUAUAUAAUAAUUAACGGAUCAAUAACAAUCAGUUAGUUGGACUGAAUUGGUUCAACUUAUGAAUUAACUGAAUUGAGGUGUUUUGUAAACUGGAUCAAAAGAUUCACUGAAAAGCUCUG